rnacentral:lncRNA from 1 species
GGCCUUGCUCUUAUGUCAUCUGACUAAAGGUUUCAUAGACCAAAGAUAACCAUCCAACUUGUUGGAAUACUGAAACAAUUGCUGCCUGCUGUCCACACACCACAUAAAAUAUGUGGAUUUCGUAAAUUCUGCAAAAAAGGUUUGGAAGCUGAUCAAUCAAUACUGGAACUCCCUCUUCUCCAGAAGAGACAUCCAGGCCUCCAUGCAGAGGAAUGUGUGGAUGGACAUAUAUUUAAGGAAGACACUAAACCAGAAACUACUACAUUACACCCUCUUAGAAGACUUCUAAGAUUGUUGUCAUGCCUACCACAGACAUUCAGAUGAUGUGUAUUGUUGAUUGUGAUUUCAUGUUUGGACCUGAUGAAGGAGUUUGAAGUCUCCAGAGCAGCAAAGAGAGUGGGGAGUAGAACUCAUCAUCUUUAGGUCACUCAUCAUCG